rnacentral:rRNA from 1 species
UACGUAGGGGGCGAGCGUUGUCCGGAAUCACUGGGCGUAAAGGGCGCGUAGGCGGCCUGAUAAGUAGGGGGUGAAAUCCUGCGGCUUAACCGCAGGGCUGCCUUCUAAACUGUCAGGCUGGAGCACAGUAGAGGCAGGUGGAAUUCCCGGUGUAGCGGUGGAAUGCGUAGAGAUCGGGAAGAACAUCAGUGGCGAAGGCGGCAUCCUGGACCAAUUCUGACGCUGAGGAGCGAAAGCCAGGGGAGCAAACGGG